CAGUUUCCGGAAUCCCAGCAAUGGCGGCUCUGGACUCGCUGUCGCUCUUCACCGGCCUUGGCCUGAGCGAGCAUAAGGCCCGGGAGACGCUCAAGAACACGGCUCUGAGCGCGCAGCUGCGCGAGGCGGCGACCCAGGCGCAGCAGACUCUGGGCUCCACCAUCGACAAAGCUACCGGGACCCUGCUAUAUGGCUUGGCAUCCCGACUCAGGGAUCCCCGGCGUCUUUCUUUCCUUGUGAGCUACAUAGCCAAUAAGAAGAUCCACACCGAGCUCCAGCUGAGCGCUGCCCUUGAGUAUGUGCGAAGUCAUCCCUUGGACCCCAUCAACACCGAGGACUUUGAGCAGGAAUGUGGUGUGGGUGUCAUGGUGACCCCAGAGCAGAUUGAAGAGGCUGUGGAGGCCGCCAUAAAUCGUCACCAGCCCCAGCUCCUGGAGGAGCGUUAUCGUUUCAACAUGGGACUGCUGAUGGGAGAGGCUCGAGCUGUGCUCAAGUGGGCAGAUGGCAGAAUGAUCAAGCAUGAAGUGGACAUGCAGGUUCUUCACCUUCUGGGUCCCAAGACAGAGACUGAUCUGGAGAAGAAACCCAAGGUGUCAAAAGCUCGGCCAGAAGAAAAAGACCGGAGGACAGCAAAGGACUUGAUGGAGAAUGGUGAGGCGGCUGAUCAGGGCCUGUCUCUGAUGGAGCAGCUCCGAGGGGAGGCACUUAAGUUCCACAAACCUGGUGAGAACUAUAAGACCCCAGGCUAUGUGACCACUCCACACACCAUGGACCUACUGAAGCAGCACCUGGAGAUUACUGGAGGACAGGUACGGACCCGGUUCCCGCCGGAACCCAAUGGAAUCCUGCACAUAGGACAUGCCAAAGCCAUCAAUUUCAACUUCGGCUAUGCCAAGGCUAACAAUGGGAUCUGUUUUCUGCGCUUUGAUGACACCAACCCUGAGAAGGAGGAAGCAAGGUUCUUCACUGCCAUCUGUGACAUGGUGUCCUGGCUGGGUUACACUCCUUACAAGGUUACAUAUGCCUCUGACUAUUUUGACCAGCUGUAUGCCUGGGCUAUGGAGCUCAUCCAUAGGGGCCAGGCCUAUGUGUGCCACCAGCGAGGAGAGGAGCUCAAAGGCCAUAACUCGUUGCCCUCACCCUGGAGAGACCGUCCCAUAGAGGAGUCACUGCUGCUCUUUGAGGCAAUGCGCAAGGGCAAGUUUGCGGAGGGUGAGGCCACACUGCGCAUGAAGUUGGUGAUGGAGGAUGGCAAGAUGGACCCUGUGGCCUAUCGAGUCAAGUACACACCACACCAUCGCACGGGGGACACCUGGUGCAUCUAUCCCACCUACGACUACACACACUGCCUCUGUGACUCCAUCGAGCACAUCACCCACUCGCUCUGCACCAAGGAAUUCCAGGCCCGACGCUCUUCCUACUUCUGGCUGUGCAAUGCAUUGGAUGUCUAUUGCCCUGUUCAGUGGGAGUACGGCCGUCUCAACCUUCACUAUGCCGUUGUGUCUAAGAGGAAGAUUCUCCAGCUUGUGGCAGCUGGUGCUGUGCGGGACUGGGACGACCCACGGCUCUUCACACUCACAGCCUUACGACGGCGGGGCUUUCCGCCUGAGGCCAUCAACAACUUUUGUGCUCGGGUGGGGGUGACAGUGGCACAGACCACGAUGGAACCCCAUCUGCUAGAAGCCUGCGUGCGUGAUGUGCUGAAUGAUACAGCCCCACGGGCUAUGGCUGUGCUGGAGCCUUUACAGGUCAUCAUCACCAACUUUCCUGCUAUCAAGUCCUUAGACAUCCAGGUUCCCAACUUCCCAGCUGAUGAGACCAAGGGCUUCCAUCAGGUUCCCUUUGGACCCAUGGUCUUCAUUGAAAGGACUGAUUUCAAAGAAUUUACCUACUUCCUACUUCAGAUGAGCCAGCCCCUGCCAGAAAUGGGGGUGGGGAGAAGCCUCUUCUACCUUUUUGACCUGUGCAGUCUCUUGUGUCCACACCACUUCCUACCUCUAGGAGCCAGAGCCAGGCUAUAAGCGCCUGGCAUGGGGCCAGCCUGUGGGCCUGAGGCAUACUGGCUACGUCAUCGAGCUGCAGAAUGUUUUCAAGGGCCCCACUGGCUGUGUAGAGAGCCUGGAAGUGACCUGUAGACAGGCGGAUGCUGGAGAAAAGCCCAAGGCCUUUAUUCACUGGGUGUCACAGCCUCUGACUUGUGAGAUUCGCCUUUAUGAGAGACUAUUUCAGCACAAGAACCCUGAGGAUCCUGCUGAGGUGCCUGGUGGAUUCUUAAGUGACCUGAACCUGGCAUCGCUACAAGUGGUGGAGGCAGCGUUAGUGGACUGCUCUGUGGCCCUGGCAAAGCCCUUUGACAAGUUCCAGUUUGAGCGGCUUGGCUACUUCUCCGUGGAUCCAGACAGCUGCCAGGGACAGCUUGUCUUCAACCGGACUGUCACACUGAAGGAGGACCCAGGAAAGGUGUGAGCUGUAAGGAAGCCCCGUGGAACUACCUCAUGCUUCUGGAGGCUAGGGGUACCCAGACUCCGUAUCAAUAAAGAACAGCUAAAUCCCCUGGA